rnacentral:rRNA from 1 species
UUAUGAAGGGUAUGAUCUUGGCUCAGAACGAACGCUGGCGGCGUGGAUUAGGCAUGCAAGUCGCACGAGGGAGCGUCCCGAAAGGGGCGCAAACCGAGUGGCGUAAGGGUGAGUAAUGCAUUGAUAACCUACCUUUGAGAUGGGAACAACAACGUUCCAAGUAAUUGGGGCUACCGAAAGGGUUGCUAAUUCUCAAUAAAAAUGCUGACACUUUGGUGUCGGCAGUCAAAGAAAUGGAUCUGAAAAGGUCCAUUUGCUCAGAGAGGGGUCAAUGUCCUAUCAGCUAGUUGGUAGGGUAAUGGCCUACCAAGGCGAAGACGGGUAGCCGGCCUGAGAGGGUGGUCGGCCACACUGGGACUGAGACACUGCCCAGACUCCUACGGGAGGCUGCAGUCGAGAAUCUUUCGCAAUGCCCGAAAGGGUGACGAAGCGACGCCGCGUGUGGGAUGAAGGCCUUCGGGUUGUAAACCACUGUCGGGAGUUAAGAAUUGUAGGAAUGCUAAUAGUAUUUCUACUUGACUAAGGCUCCGGAGGAAGCCACGGCUAACUCUGUGCCAGCAGCCGCGGUAAUACAGAGGCGGCAAGCGUUGUUCGGAAUUAUUGGGCGUAAAGAGCAUGUAGGCGGCUAUGUAAGUCGGUUGUGAAAGCCUUCCGCUUAACGGAAGAAUGGCGGUCGAAACUGCAUGGCUUGAGUGCGGGAGGGGAGAGUGGAACUUCUGGUGGAGCGGUGAAAUGCGUAGAUAUCAGAAGGAACGUCGGCGGCGAAAGCGACUCUCUAGACCGUAACUGACGCUGAGUGUGCGAAGUGCCCCGCCUGGGGAGUACGGCCGCAAGGCUAAAACUCAAAAGAAUUGACGGGGGCUCGCACAAGCGGUGGAGCAUGUGGCUUAAUUCGAUGCAACGCGAAGAACCUUACCGGGGCUUGACAUGAUAGAAGUAGGAACCCGAAAGGGCGACGAACGGUAUCCAGCCCGAAACUAUCACAGGUGUUGCAUGGCUGUCGUCAGCUCGUGUCGUGAGACGUUGGGUUAAGUCCCCUAACACUCUAAAGAGACUGCUGUCGUCAAGACGGAGGAAGGUGGGGAUGACGUCAAGUCAUCAUGGCCCUUAUGUCCCGGGCUGCACACGUGCUACAAUGGUUGGUACAAAGGGAUGCUAAACUGUAAAGCGGAGCGAAACCCAUAAAACCGAUCUCAGUUCAGAUUGGAGGCUGAAACCCGCCUCCAUGAAGUAGGAAUCGCUAGUAAUCGCGGAUCAGCUACGCCGCGGUGAAUAUGUUCCCGAGCCUUGUACACACCGCCCGUCAAGCCACCCAAGCAAGAUGCACCCAAAAUCGCUGGCCAAACCCGUAAGGGAUGGAAGUGCUUAAGGUGUGUUUUGUGAGGAGGACUAAGUCGUAACAAGGUAGUCGUAGGAGAACCUGCGGCUGGAUCACCUCCUUUCU